rfam:Ectocarpus siliculosus strain Ec 32, whole genome shotgun sequence assembly, chromosome LG04
CGUGGAGUUUUUCCCAGCUCCGACGGGAUGGCGCUCGUGACUAGGUCCGCCGCCUUGAAUCACACGAGCGUGUGUAUACCCGUGUGACCCAAGGCGGCGGAACUAGCGACGAGCGCCCUUCCAUCGGAGGUGGGUUAGAAUUUCACGA